rnacentral:rRNA from 1 species
ACGAACGCUGGCGGCGUGCUUAACACAUGCAGGUCGAACGGAAAGGCCCUGCUUUUGUGGGGUGCUCGAGUGGCGAACGGGUGAGUAACACGUGAGUAACCUGCCCUUGACUUUGGGAUAACUUCAGGAAACUGGGGCUAAUACCGGAUAGGAGCUCCUGCUGCAUGGUGGGGGUUGGAAAGUUUCGGCGGUUGGGGAUGGACUCGCGGCUUAUCAGCUUGUUGGUGGGGUAGUGGCUUACCAAGGCUUUGACGGGUAGCCGGCCUGAGAGGGUGACCGGCCACAUUGGGACUGAGAUACGGCCCAGACUCCUACGGGAGGCAGCAGUGGGGAAUAUUGCACAAUGGGCGGAAGCCUGAUGCAGCAACGCCGCGUGCGGGAUGACGGCCUUCGGGUUGUAAACCGCUUUCGCCUGUGACGAAGCGUGAGUGACGGUAAUGGGUAAAGAAGCACCGGCUAACUACGU